CCUACGGGAGGCAGCAGUGGGGAAUAUUGCGCAAUGGGCGAAAGCCUGACCCAGCAACGCCGCGUGAAGGAAGAAGGCUUUCGGGUUGUAAACUUCUUUUCUCAGGGACGAAGCAAGUGACGGUACCUGAUGAAUAAGCCACGGCUAACUACGUGCCAGCAGCCGCGGUAAUACGUAGGUGGCAAGCGUUAUCCGGAUUUACUGGGUGUAAAGGGCGUGUAGGCGGGAAAGCAAGUCAGAUGUGAAAACCAUGGGCUCAACCUGUGGCCUGCAUUUGAAACUGUUUUUCUUGAGUACUGGAGAGGCAGACGGAAUUCCUAGUGUAGCGGUGAAAUGCGUAGAUAUUAGGAGGAACACCAGUGGCGAAGGCGGUCUGCUGGACAGCAACUGACGCUGAGGCGCGAAAGCGUGGGGAGCAAACAGGAUUAGAUACCCGAGUAGUC
rnacentral:rRNA from 1 species